GACGAACGCUGGCGGCGUGCUUAACACAUGCAAGUCGAACGGAAAGGCCCUGCUUUUGUGGGGUGCUCGAGUGGCGAACGGGUGAGUAACACGUGAGUAACCUGCCCUUGACUUUGGGAUAACUUCAGGAAACUGGGGCUAAUACCGGAUAGGAGCUCCUGCUGCAUGGUGGGGGUUGGAAAGUUUCGGCGGUUGGGGAUGGACUCGCGGCUUAUCAGCUUGUUGGUGGGGUAGUGGCUUACCAAGGCUUUGACGGGUAGCCGGCCUGGGAGGGUGACCGGCCACAUUGGGACUGCGAUACGGCCCAGACUCCUACGUGAGGCAGCAGUCGGGAAUAUUGCACAAUGGGCCGAAGCCUGAUGCAGCAACGCCGCGUGCGUGAUGACGGCCUUCGGGUUGUAAACCGCUUUCGCCUGUGACGAAGCGUGAUUGACGGUAAUGGGUAAAGAAGCACCGGCUAACUACGUG
rnacentral:rRNA from 1 species